rnacentral:rRNA from 1 species
UACGUAGGCAGCAAGCGUUGUUCGGAGUUACUGGGCGUAAAGGGUGCGUAGGCGGCCCUGUAAGUCUGGUGUGAAAUCUCCCGGCUUAACUGGGCGGGGGCCUUCCAGACGGCGUGGCUUGAGCAGCGGAGGGGGACGUGGAAUUCCGGGUGGAGCGGUGAAAUGCGUAGAGAUCCGGAGGAACACCGACGGCGCAGGCAGCGUCCUGGCCGCUUGCUGACACUGAGGCACGAAAGCUGGGGGAGCAAACAGG